GGGGACAACAGCCAGAAAUGGCUGCUAAUACCGCAUAAGCCUGCUGUGCCGCAUGGCACAGCAGGGAAAACCACGGUGGUACAGGAUGGGCCCGCGUCUGAAUAGUUAGUUGGCAGGGUAACGGCCUACCAAGACAACGAUCAGUAGCCGGCUUGAGAGAGUGGACGGCCACAUUGGGACUGAGACACGGCCCAGACUCCUGCGGGAGGCAGCAGUGGGGAAUAUUGCACAAUGGGGGGAACCCUGAUGCAGCAAUGCCGCGUGGGUGAAGAAGCACUCCGGUGUGUAAAGCCCUGUCAGCAGGGAAGAAAAUGACAGUACCUGGACAAGAAGCCCCGGCUAACUACGUGCCAGCAGCCGCGGUAAUACGUAGGGGGCAAGCGUUAUCCGGAUUUACUGGGUGUAAAGGGAGCGCAGGCGGCGUGGCAAGUCAGAUGUGAAAACCCGGGGCCCAACCCCGGGAGUGCAUUUGAAACUGCCAUGCUGGAGUGCCGGAGAGGUAAGCGGAAUUCCUAGUGUAGCGGUGAAAUGCGUAGAUAUUAGGAGGAACACCAGUGGCGGAGGCGGCUUACUGGACGGUAACUGACGCUGAGGCUCGAAAGCGUGGGGAGCAAACAGGAUUAGAUACCCUGGUAGUCCACGCCGUAAACGAUGAA
rnacentral:rRNA from 1 species